rnacentral:rRNA from 1 species
GAGUAGGGUAGCGGAGGACAU